ACUAAGCAAAAAAUCGACCUUUCCAAAGUAGCAUUGUCUCAUAUCACUUUUCUCUUUGGUUUUUUCCUCAUAAAAAUAUAAAAAAGGCAUACGUAAAUUCGAUUUAUAGGAGAAGUUAUUUUUACACCUAUUCAGUUUAUACACGCAUGUAAAGGACAUACUUACAAAAAUACCCUUGAUUUGAAUUUUCAUGAAGUAACAUGGAGCCCACAACAGUUCUCAGGAUUCAUCCAUAAAUAUGAGCCUCC
rnacentral:lncRNA from 1 species